GGAGCUUGCUCCCUGAAGUUAGCGGCGGACGGGUGAGUAACACGUGGGCAACCUGCCUGUAAGACUGGGAUAACUUCGGGAAACCGGAGCUAAUACCGGAUACGUUCUUUCCUCGCAUGAGGAAAGAUGGAAAGACGGUUUCGGCUGUCACUUACAGAUGGGCCCGCGGCGCAUUAGCUAGUUGGUGAGGUAAUGGCUCACCAAGGCCACGAUGCGUAGCCGACCUGAGAGGGUGAUCGGCCACACUGGGACUGAGACACGGCCCAGACUCCUACGGGAGGCAGCAGUAGGGAAUCUUCCGCAAUGGACGAAAGUCUGACGGAGCAACGCCGCGUGAGCGAAGAAGGCCUUCGGGUCGUAAAGCUCUGUUGUUAGGGAAGAACAAGUGCCAGAGUAACUGCUGGCACCUUGACGGUACCUAACCAGAAAGCCACGGCUAACUACGUGCCAGCAGCCGCGGUAAUACGUAGGUGGCAAGCGUUGUCCGGAAUUAUUGGGCGUAAAGCGCGCGCAGGUGGUUCCUUAAGUCUGAUGUGAAAGCCCACGGCUCAACCGUGGAGGGUCAUUGGAAACUGGGGGACUUGAGUGCAGAAGAGGAAAGUGGAAUUCCAAGUGUAGCGGUGAAAUGCGUAGAGAUUUGGAGGAACACCAGUGGCGAAGGCGACUUUCUGGUCUGUAACUGACACUGAGGCGCGAAAGCGUGGGGAGCGAACAGGAUUAGAUACCCUGGUAGUCCACGCCGUAA
rnacentral:rRNA from 1 species